GAUGAACGCUAGCUACAGGCUUAACACAUGCAAGUCGAGGGGCAGCACAAGGCAGCAAUGCUGAGGUGGCGACCGGCGCACGGGUGCGUAACGCGUAUCCAACCUUCCCGUUACUCUUGGAUAGCCUUCCGAAAGGGAGAUUAAUACAAGAUGGUGUUGAAAUUCCGCAUGUUAUUUCAACGAAAGAUUUAUCGGUAACGGAUGGGGAUGCGUGACAUUAGAUAGAUGGCGGGGUAACGGCCCACCAUGUCCACGAUGUCUAGGGGUUCUGAGAGGAAGGUCCCCCACACUGGAACUGAGACACGGUCCAGACUCCUACGGGAGGCAGCGGUGAGGAAUAUUGGUCAAUGGCCGGAAGGCUGAACCAGCCAAGUAGCGUGAAGGAUGAAGGUUCUAUGGAUUGUAAACUUCUUUUAUACGGGAAUAAAACCUCCCACGUGUGGGAGCUUGUAUGUACCGUAUGAAUAAGCAUCGGCUAACUCCGUGCCAGCAGCCGCCGCGGUAA
rnacentral:rRNA from 1 species